rnacentral:rRNA from 1 species
GAUACGACCGUACCGCAAACCGACACUGGUGCGCGAGAUGAGUAUUCUAAGGCGCUUGAGAGAACUCAGGAGAAGGAACUCGGCAAAUUGACACCGUAACUUCGGAAGAAGGUGUGCCCUAUUAGUGUGUAGUGAACAACGAAGCAUGAAUGGGUUGCAAAAAAUCGGUGGCUGCGACUGUUUAUUAAAAACACAGCACUCUGCCAACACGAAAGUGGACGUAUAGGGUGUGACGCCUGCCCGGUGCUGGAAGAUUAAAUGAUGGGGUGCAAGCUCUUGAUUGAAGUCCCAGUAAACGGCGGCCGUAACAAUAACAGUCCUAAGGUAGCGAAAUUCCUUGUCGGGUAAGUUCCGACCUGCACGAAAGGCGUAACGAUGGCCACACUGUCUCCUCCUGAGACUCAGCGAAGUUGAAAUGUUUGUGAUGAUGCAAUCUCCCCGCGGAAAGACGGAAAGACCCCAUGAACCUUUACUGUAGCUUUGUAUUGGACUUUGAACAGAUCUGUGUAGGAUAGGUGGGAGGCUUUGAAGCAGGGUCGCUAGAUCUUGUGGAGCCAACGUUGAAAUACCACCCUGGUGUGUUUGAGGUUCUAACCUAGGUCCAUUAUCUGGAUCGGGGACAGUGCAUGGUAGGCAGUUUGACUGGGGCGGUCUCCUCCCAAAGCGUAACGGAGGAGUUCGAAGGUACGCUAGUUACGGUCGGACAUCGUGACGAUAGUGCAAUGGCAUAAGCGUGCUUAACUGCGAGACUGACAAGUCGAGCAGAUGCGAAAGCAGGACAUAGUGAUCCGGUGGUUCUGUAUGGAAGGGCCAUCGCUCAACGGAUAAAAGGUACUCUGGGGAUAACAGGCUGAUACCGCCCAAGAGUUCAUAUCGACGGCGGUGUUUGGCACCUCGAUGUCGGCUCAUCUCAUCCUGGGGCUGUAGCCGGUCCCAAGGGUAUGGCUGUUCGCCAUUUAAAGAGGUACGUGAGCUGGGUUUAAAACGUCGUGAGACAGUUUGGUCCCUAUCUUCCGUGGGCGCUGCAGAUUUGAGGAAGCCUGCUCCUAGUACGAGAGGACCGGAGUGGACACACCUCUGGUGUAUCGGUUGUCACGCCAGUGGCAUUGCCGAGUAGCUAAGUGUGGAAGAGAUAACCGCUGAAAGCAUCUAAGCGGGAAACUCGUUUCAAGAUGAGAUCUGCCGGGGCCUUGAGCCCCCUAAAGGGUCGUUCAAGACCAGGACGUUGAUAGGUCAGGUGUGGAAGC